UAUGGAAUAGUCUUUUGGUCGGCUUUCCCGUUCUUGAGGACUUUCUGGCCGGUAGGCUUUAUAGCGGACCUGCUUUGCUGACAGGGAGGAUAUGAAAUAGAUAGUUGCGCUUGCCUUCACUUAGAAACUCUACGCCUCCUAUUUUAUAGUUUAUAGUAAGGCAUGCUCUCGAAACUAGAUUCACUCGUUCUUGUCUCCGGCGAUUAACCUAUUUCAGAGCAGUCUGGUGAUUAGCCUAUCUCGCACUACUCGAAGCCUUCGUAAACUCAUUGUUGGGUUCUAUCGUAGUGAAGGUUGCUGUGAGGAGAUCCUUGUGCCAGUGAAGAUUGUUUCCAGUGAUCGGGAAAUGGAAAUAAUAAAUACAAAAACCAUUGCUUUAUAUCCAACACUCCGGAUAGGCAGAAGGAUCUAUGUCUAUCCCCAACUUCCUUGCAAUCCACAUCGGAAAAUUUAGGCUUUCUCUACUGGGAGUCAUCAAAGGAGGAAUAGGCAUACGCUGGUUCGAUAAGCCAAGGAAAAACAACCACCGCUUGGUUUUGACACUCAAGCGACCCGCCUUGCCAAACAUCGAUGCAAAGGUUAGAUUUCACCACCUCUAUCUCCAAGCCCCUUUACUAGGUUGGGCAAGCUUGGAUGCCCCUACUCUCAACAAGUUGCUGGUCGAGAUCGUGGAACUAUCGCUCGAGAAGUAAGUAAGCUGGUCCUUGUUUGGUCAUAAGGAUAAUCGUUCUUAUUAGGUCAGGGGCGGCCGGUCCGAGGGUUACCCGCGAUUGGUAAUGGCAUAACCAGAAGAGGGGUAGGGGAGACAAAGUUACGCGCUGGGUAGCGCAGCGCAUCUGUUUCGGGUACAGAGGCGACGAGGGGUGCUAACCCGGCCACCCAACCCAGCAGGUCAGGGGCGGGCCGGCCAUAGGUUCGAAUCCUGCCACCUUUCUUGUGGAUCAUCCUGUGGUUACCGGAUGAUGGGAAUAACAAAGCAGAAAUUUUGAAAUGAGCACGAAAUGUCAAUAUAUGAAUUGUUUCAUUAUUCGUUAUUUCUGGGUCUUUUCGUUGCAUUCACUUAUAACAAGAAACAACCACCAGCGUUUGGUGCAGCACUUGCAUUUUGGUGUAUUCUUCUUUCUUUCCUUGGUCUUUUGUUCUGUCAUAUUUCUAAUAACUUAUCCAAUUACAACGUAUUAACCGCUAAUGCACCUUUCUUUUAUCAAAUCUCAGGGACAUGGUCUAAUCAUGAGGGUAGUAUUUUAUUAUGGUGUUGGAUCCUAAGUUUUUAUGGAUUCCUUUUUUGUUACCGGGGUCGACCCCAAAGCCAUAAUGUCUCAAAACGAGGAGGCCAUAGAGAAACUUUUUUUUAUUCCUUUGUCUCGAACUUCGUGAAGAACUCCAUUCUAUCUCUCCCUCGUUACGAACAAAAAAGUGGGGCUGCGCCCCAGUUGUACACUCCCUUCGUUCUACGAAUCCUUGUUGAUUCUGAACUUCGUUCGCGAAGGAACCGGACUUUUGACGGGCCAGCCCUUUUUUAUGCGCCGCUUUACCCUGAAAGGAAAAUGAGCUUUGCUCCUCUGGGCGCUAGGCGCUCCCGUGGUUCGCGAGAAGGAAAAAGGACUCAUCCUUUGUUGCAUCUGGCACGAGAUGAUAAAGAGAGAGCUUCGUCUAUCCAUGAAAAGCGGAUUGACGGAGCUCUUGGCAUUGCUUUGUUUUUCUCUCUUUUCUUAUUAGCGAGUUCUGAUCCUUUUGUUCGAAAUUUCUUCGUUUGUACCGAACCGCUUGCAGAAUUAAAUCCUGUUCUACAAGAUCCUAUAUUAGCUAUACAUCCUCCUUGCAUUUAUGCCGGAGACGUCGCCAGUGCUAUGGGCUUUAGCUUAUGUAGAUCAAAAAUGAUGAAUGGAAUUGUGGCACUCCACUCGCCGCCAAUGCGGAAGGAUGCCGCCGAAAAGAAUAGAACGCUGCUUUGCUCUGCUGGAUGCGUCGGAUCCCGUAUAACAAGCGAGCUUUUUACCCUCAAAUUCAAACAUGUGGGCGCAAAAUGCUAUCCUGCUCUAUUGUUACGUAGCAAUAGAAGCCCGCUCAUGCUGCUUCGGCGGCGCUUUUUCGCCUUCUCUUCGCUCUGGACAGGAGCGCUAGUGGACACGGGGAGGGAGCAGGCGAAGCGUGUCGUUCGUAAUGGAAAGAAAGAUACCACUACUUUGCCUCUUUGUUGGACCGCCGGCGCGAACACAGUGGUCUCUGACCAGGACCAGGAACCAAUUCGAAUUUGGAUCUUGACAUGUUGGUGGUUUUUAACCGUAGGCAUCUUGCUAGGAAGUUGGUGGGCUUAUCAUGAAUUAGGUUGGGGUGGCUGGUGGUUUUGGGAUCCCGUAGAAAAUGCUUCUUUUAUGCCUUGGGUAUUAGCCACAGCUUGUAUUCAUUCAGUAAUUCUACCCUUUCUUCAUUCUUGGACCUUGUUUCUUAAUAUUGUGACUUUUCUAUGCUGUGUCUUAGGAACCUUUUCAAUACGGUCCGGAUUGCUAGCUUCCGUUCAUAGUUUUGCUACAGAUGAUACACGAGGAAUCUUUUUAUGGCGGUUCUUCCUUCUAAUGACCGGCAUAUCUAUGAUUCUUUUCUCCCAGAUGAAGCAGCAGGCAUCGGUCCGUAGAACCUAUAAAAAAGAGAUGGUUGUGGCGCGAAGUACUCUUGUGCACCUACGUCACUCGGCUCGCGCGCAACCCCGCCCCGUUAUGUUAUGGAAGAAUUGAACUUAUUGCUGGGCUGGUUAUUCAGAGCCAGCAAUUGGCUGCCGGAUUUCGUCCCGCAACUAGAAGAAGAUCGCUUCGGGGGUCACUAUGGCGUGGCUGAAUGUAGAGCAGUCCGCCCCUACAGCCUUUGAUCAGUAGAUUAUUUAGAACUUCGGAAGAUGGUCAAGGUAGCUUGCUUCCAAGCCACUGCACUAGAUGCGCAUGUAGUCAUAGUAGUCGGCUCAGAAUGCCUCUGUUCUAUACUAAAAGACUACUUCGGAUGAAUGGGGAAUUACGUCGCUCUUUGAUCUAAUAAGGCCUACGAGCUCUCUGUUUUAGUUUUAUGGCGGAGAUCUCUCCACACCAAGGAACCAAAUCACAAUGGAUCGAAGCCCU
rnacentral:misc_RNA from 1 species